GGUCCUGUGGUGUAGUGGUUAUCACGUCUGCUUUACACGCAGAAGGUUCGAGGCUCGAUCCCGUGCAGGACCU
rnacentral:tRNA from 1 species